AACGAACGCUGGCGGCGUGCCUAACACAUGCAAGUCGAGCGCGAAAAGGGCAACCUGAGUAGAGCGGCGCACGGGUGCGUAACACGUGGGUAAUCUGCCUUAGAGUCGAGGAUAACCUUCCGAAAGGUUGGCUAAUACUCGGUAAGCUUACGGUGUCUUCGGACGCUGUGGGAAAAGUAGGCCUCUGUUUACAAGCUUACGCUCUGAGAUGAGCCCGCGGCCCAUCAGCUAGUUGGCGGUGUAACGGACCACCAAGGCAACGACGGGUAGCGGGUCUGGGAGGAUGAUCAGCCACACGGGAACUGAGACACGGUCCAGACUCCUACGGGAGGCAGCAGUGGGGAAUUUUGGACAAUGGGGGCAACCCUGAUCCAGCCAUGCCGCGUGAGUGAAGAAGGCCUUCGGGUUGUAAAGCUCUUUCGGCCGGGAAGAAAUCGCAUGGGCUAAUACCCUGUGUGGAUGACGGUACCGGAAUAAGAAGCACCGGCUAACUACGUGCCAGCAGCCGCGGUAAGAC
rnacentral:rRNA from 1 species